CCCNGAUGUAAGGCAGCAGGUGGUCCAGA
rnacentral:piRNA from 1 species